rnacentral:rRNA from 1 species
UGGAUAGGAGACAAGAGGGCAUCUUCUUGUUUUUAAAAGACCUAGCAAUAGGUAUGCUUAGGGAGGAGCUUGCGUCACAUUAGUUAGUUGGUGGGGUAAAGGCCUACCAAGACUAUGAUGUGUAGCCGGGCUGAGAGGUUGAACGGCCACAUUGGGACUGAGACACGGCCCAAACUCCUACGGGAGGCAGCAGUAGGGAAUUUUCGGCAAUGGAGGAAACUCUGACCGAGCAACGCCGCGUGAACGAUGAAGUAUUUCGGUACGUAAAGUUCUUUUAUUAGGGAAGAAUAAAUGAUGGAAAAAUCAUUCUGACGGUACCUAAUGAAUAAGCCCCGGCUAACUAUGUGCCAGCAGCCGCGGUAAUACAUAGGGGGCAAGCGUUAUCCGGAAUUAUUGGGCGUAAAGGGUGCGUAGGCGGUUAAAUAAGUUUAUGGUCUAAGUGCAAUGCUCAACAUUGUGAUGCUAUAAAAACUGUUUAGCUAGAGUAAGAUAGAGGCAAGUGGAAUUCCAUGUGUAGUGGUAAAAUGCGUAAAUAUAUGGAGGAACACCAGUAGCGAAGGCGGCUUGCUGGGUCUUUACUGACGCUGAGGCACGAAAGCGUGGGGAGCAAACAGGAUUAGAUACCCUGGUAGUCCACGCCGUAAACGAUGAGUACUAAACGUUGGGUAAAACCAGUGUUGAAGUUAACACAUUAAGUACUCCGCCUGAGUAGUACGUACGCAAGUAUGAAACUUAAAGGAAUUGACGGGACUCCGCACAAGCGGUGGAUCAUGUUGUUUAAUUCGAAGGUACCCGAAAAACCUCACCAGGUCUUGACAUGCUUCUGCAAAGCUGUAGAAACACAGUGGAGGUUAUCAGUUGCACAGGUGGUGCAUGGUUGUCGUCAGCUCGUGUCGUGAGAUGUUGGGUUAAGUCCCGCAACGAGCGCAACCCUUAUUGUUAGUUACCAGCACGUAAUGGUGGGGACUUUAGCAAGACUGCCAGUGAUAAAUUGGAGGAAGGUGGGGACGACGUCGAAUCAUCAUGCCCCUUAUGACCUGGGCUACAAACGUGAUACAAUGGCUGUUACAAAGGGUAGCUGAAGCGCAAGUUUUUGGCGAAUCUCAAAAAAACAGUCUCAGUUCGGAUUGAAGUCUGCAACUCGACUUCAUGAAGUUGGAAUCGCUAGUAAUCGCGAAUCAGCAUGUCGCGGUGAAUACGUUCACGGGGUUUGU